AUGAAGAAUUUAAAGGAGCUUAAAGAAUUCCAUGUCAAGAAAGAGAGUGAUGGAUUUGAAUUAAGUGAGUUGGGGGAUUUAACAGUGCUUGGAGGAGAACUCAGUAUAUAUAAUCUUGGAAAUGUGGCAACCAAGGAAGAGGCCAUGAAAGCCAAGCUUGUGUCAAAAGGUGAUUUGAAAGAGUUGAGGUUGGUUUGGGGAGAAUUGGAUGCAUCGGAAUCAUCUGAUGGUGCAUCAGAAUCAUCUAUUCCCUUGAUGGUCCAACAGAAUCAUCUAGUGCCCUUGAUGGUACAGCAGAAUUAUCUGAUGUUCUUGAUGGUCUUGAGCCACAUCCUAAUCUGCAAUCACUUGGCAUUAUAA
rnacentral:rRNA from 1 species